UUUUUUUUUUUUUGAUUUUUUAUUUAUUAUAUGUAAGUACACUGUAGCUGUUAUCAGACACUCCAGAAGAGGGCAUCAGAUUUCGUUAUGGAUGGUUGUGAGCCACCAUGUGGUUGCUGGGAUUUGAACUCGGGACCUUCGGAAGAGCAGUCGGCGCUCUUAACCACUGAUCCAUCUUGCCAGCCCGGUGUUUUCUAGCUCUCCUGUCCUAAUAGACAUUAACGCAGCUGAGGAGCCCCCUGCAUGUAGGUUGCUCUGAGUCUAAAGUACAAGCCUAAAGCUAAAGCUGUUGUUGAGCUGCACAUAGUAAAGGUCAGGGUGCACAUAGUAAAGGGAGGGGUGCUGCUGUCACGGUGACCUCCAAAUUAGAAUUUUGAGCUCUUUGUCUUUUUGAGUAAGUUUUACACUAGCCCUGGAUGUCCUAGAACUCAGUCUAUGCCCAAGCUGUCCUUGAACUCACGGCAGUCCUUCCUCUGCCUCUCAAGACAGCACCACCAACUGUACUGUAUGAGGUGUGUUCAUUGUGUUUGGUUUGGUGGUGCAGAACUCUGAACCCAGAGCCUUGAGCUCCAUCACCAGCCCCAGGAUUGGCUUUUCAUGAGCAGAAUGCAGUUUAGAGGUAGUCAAGACUCAGUAUUCCAGCCACAGAAACACAGAGUGAAGAAGCUUAGCUAGGGAGGAACACAGUAGCUCUGCAGGUUUGUGGGCAGGAUGGUUGCCGAAGCUUUGUCCUUGUCAGAUAGCUGAGGGAGACGCCACUGUAGUUUAUGAACUAGUGUGUGCUCCGAAAAGAAUGAAAGUUGUUGCAUCUGGGCAUGGUGGCUAAGCCUGUACCCAGCAUUCUGGAGACUAAGGAAGGAAGAUCAAAAGUUCAAGGCCACACACACUAAACUACAUAACAAGACCCUGGGUCAAAAAUAAUAAACAAGGCUGGGUGUGGUGGUAUAUGCCUCUUUAAUCUCAACAUACGGAUCUCUGACUUCGAGGUCAGUACUGUCUAUAUAACAAGUUCUGGGCCAGCCAGUAUAGUGAGAUUCUUUUAAGACAACAACUUUUACUGGGUGGUAUACGCCUUUAUUCCCAGCACUUAGAAGGCAUAUAUGAGUUUGAGACAAGCUUGGUCUACAGAACCAGUCCCAGGACAUCCAGGGCUACGUUGAGAACACUGCACAAAAACAAAAAACUUUUCCAAGUAAAAAAAUAGUAUAUUUGGUAUGUGUAUAUACAUAUAUAUUGGGUUGAGUGUUCUGGCCCCAAGUUACAGAUGUUUGCGUAUCAUUGUACUAGCUAAUAUUGGUCUGCUAUCUUUGUUUUCAAAUCGACUCUUGCUUUUAAAAUGUUUUAAAGUUCACAAGAUAAACAGUAACAUGCACACACCACUAACCAAGAAUAUGCUGUACUUCGGGAAAUGCUAGAUUAGGCUGCAGAUUUCUCUAUUUUUCUGAGCCAGGGUCUCACUGUGUAGCUAUGGCUAACCUGAGACACAGCAGUCCUCUAAUCUCAGCCUCCAGUGAGCUGGGUAACAGGCAUGCACAGCCCUGCCUGAUAAGAUAAACACUUUGACAACUAAGUGUGCAGAGGUAAAGUUAGGUAACUGGUUUUGAGACUGAGAAAGUGAUUUCAUGAAAGAUGGUAGGGAGCUAAUGUCCUGGCUUGGAAUUUGGGAAGCAGGAGAAGCAUAUGUCUGAGAAACUCGUGGUCAACGAGGGGAGGAGCUGAUAGAAAUUUUGGAAUCCAAACGGUAUUUUAAGGGUAUAUCCAAGGUAUUUUAAGUUAUAAAGAUGCUAGUCAUAGUGCUACAUUCCUUUAACCCCAUCACCCGGGCAGAGGAAAGCCAGUCUACAUAGUUCAGGACAGCCAGUAGUACAAAGAGAGACCCUGUCUGAAAGAAAGAAGUG
rnacentral:lncRNA from 1 species